GCGCGGCCUGGAGCGGCGGCUCUCCGGCCUCCUGCGCCGCGUCAUCGGCCCGUCCGAGCCCGACGCCGCGGC
rnacentral:tRNA from 1 species